rnacentral:lncRNA from 1 species
AAAGCUCCUGCACCCAACAAAGGACUAAUAUCCAGAAUCUAUAAGGAACUCAAAAAAAAAAUCCCAUCAAAAAGUGGACGAAGGACAUGAAUAGGCAGUUCUGAAAAGAAGAUAUACUAAUGGCCAACAAACAUGAAAAAAAAUGCUCAAUAUCACUAAUGAUAAGGAAAAUGCAAAUUAAAACCACAAUGAGAUGCCACCUUACUCCUGCAAGGAUGACUAUAAUUUAAAAAUCAAAAAAUAAACCAGGGACAGUGGCUCACACCUGUAAUCCCAGCACUUUAGGAGGCUGAGGCGGGCGGAUCAUGAGGUCAGGAGAUCAAGACCAUCCUGGCCAUGAUGAAACCCCAUCUCUACUAACAAAAUAUAAAAAAUUAGUUGGGUGUGGUGGCACACACCUGUAGUCCCAGCUACUCAGGAGGCUGAGCAGGGAAAUCGCUUGAACCUGGGAGACAGAGGUUGCAGUGAGCGAGGAUCGUGCCACUGCAGUCUAGUCUGACAAAGAGCAACACUUCAUCUCAAAAAUAAUAAUAAUAGAUGUUGGCAUGGAUGUGAUGAAAAGAGAAUACUUUUACACUGCUGGUGGGAAUGUAAACUAGUACAACCACUUUGGAAAACAGUAUGGAAAUUCCUUAAAGAACUAAAAGUUUGCCAGGCACGGUGUUUUCUUUCUUAUAUCUGUCCUUGGAGUGAGGAAAGAAUGAGUAAGACUCCAAGAAGAAGGCAAUGAGGCUGCCUUCAGAUGGCCAACUAGGUAGACUGCAACAGAAGGUAACUCAUUAUUCCCUCCCCACAGUCUUCCCCACACCCAAGCCUGGAGAGUUCAUCUAACUCUACACUGUGAACUCACGGCCCUAAAUCUUUUCAACAUUUUUAAUGUAAAAUUUCAAAGAUACAGAAAAGUCAAAAGAAUGGUACAAUGAAAACACAUGUCUACCACCUAAAUUUUACAGUUGCUAACUUUGCCCUGACUUUGUUUUAAAGCUUGUUUUAAAUAUUCCUGAGAUUAGGCAGAGCUGCCAAUCUGGUUAUGCUGGGAAGUUAGAAGGUGGUGGGGAUGCCGGUGCCUUAGAAUGAUGUCUGUAUUUCCCAAACCAUCCCGCUAAACUGAGAUGUGGUCUAACGACCACAACAACAAGUGCAUUUACAUGAAAAUCCACUUGAAGUAAUAAAAAUUAAAUCAACUUUUAGGUGCCCUAUCUUUACUGAAAAGCACAUGCACUCCAGCCGUCCUAGAAAACCUAUCAUGGAAUCACAAUUAUUUAUCAGUUUUCUUCACACCACGGUUACGCUUUGACAGAGCCAUGCUGUCUCUUGAGUUUUCAACACAGCAAAGAGCCACAGUAGAAAAAGGACUCAAUUUAUGAGAGCACAAUAUAGACUAAUAAGUCACAUAGAAAACAGACAAGUGCUCUUUUGUUAAAAGAUUUUCUACCAGAGUGUUUGAAGCCAUUUGAACCAAAUUGGGAAGAAAACAUCAUAGUGAGCCAAAGAAAGGGUAUUUUUAGAUGUUUACAACAAGACAAAAAGCAUUAAUCAGAAAAGUUAAAGACAUUUUUUAAAUCGCAGCCUUAGAAUGGUAAGGGCCGUGUACGGUAGCUCACAUCUGUAAUCUCUGCACUCUGGCAGGCUGAAGCUGGAAGAUCGCUUUAGCACAGGAGGUCAAGACCCUAUCUCUACAAACGAAUUAAAAAAUUAGCUAGGAGGCCAGGCGCAGUGGCUCACUCCUGUAAUCCCAGAGCUUUGGGAGACUGAGGUGGGUGGAUCACCUGAGGUCAGGAGUUCGAGACCAGCCUGGCCAACAUGGCAAAAACUCAUCUCUACUAAAAAUACAAAAAUUAGCCAGGUGUGGUGGCGGGCACAUGUAAUCUCAGCUACUCAGGAGGCUGAGGCAGGAGAAUUCCUUGAGCCCAGGAGACAGAGGUUGUAGUGGACUGAGAUUGUGGCACUGUACUCCAGCCUGGGUGACAGAGCGAGACACCCUCUGAAGAAAAAGAAAAAAAUUAGGAGUGGUGGCCUUUGCCUGUGGUACCAGCUACUUGGGAGGCUGAGGUGGGAAAGUUGCUUGAGCCUGGGAGUUCAAGGCUAAAAGGAGCCAUGAUCAUGCCACUACACUCCAGCCUGGGUGACAGAGUAAGACUUUAUCUUAAAAUAAAAAUAAAGAACGGUUAAGGGAUUUGCUCAAG